CAAGUGAAGCUGUACUUCAUGUCAUGGUUUAUUGGAACUAUAGUCUGUUAUGACGGUCCUGACGGAGAGCUACUCUAGUCUUUGUCUAUAAGCAACAGAGCAAUAGAAGAUCCCUCGUGUACUUCACCAGCAGAACGGGAGACAUUGCAGAAAUCAUGGAGGAAUGUCAGAAAGGAAUUUCCUUGGAUUUGUUCCUGCAUUGCUCUCUUGUUCCUGCUGUCUUCAUUGUGUUUCUGCUUUCAUUUGUACAGCGCAGAGCGAAGGCUCAGCCCUUUGAGAAUCGCUUUCCGUAUCUCAGGG